AUCACUUCUUGGCCUUUUGGCUAAGAUCAAGUGUAGUAUCUGUUCUUAUCAGUUUAAUAUCUGAUACGUCCUCUAUCUGAGCACAAUAAGUAUUAACGGGCUUCCUUGGUGGCUCAGUGAUAAAGAAUCCAC
rnacentral:snRNA from 1 species